AAAUAAAUUUUUUGGGCAGGAACAUAAAAGUAACGUUGCUGAAAUGUGAAAAAUAAUGGCAGAUUGCUACUGCAGGAUGAGGCAUGAGGACACCACGUGAAAGAAAGCAUUUCUCAGAUGUACCAAGCCCACUGCAAGCCAGAGGCUUUCACCAUGAAGAACUCCCUGUUUAAAAAGAGAUUAGAAACUUUGGCACAAAUGCUGCACUGCAAACCCUCAGCCACUUUCACUGGUGGAUGCAUAACUCCUCUGACCUUCUGCAGUGUCAGGGCUGCCUUCCAGCUCCGGGUCUGCAUCUUUAACCUUUGUAGUCCUGCCGAAUCUUUCAUCAAUCUGUGUUACAGUCACCUUGGGAAGGAAAAACAGAAGCACUCAGUCAGCACUUACAGCAGUGUAGAAAUGCUGGGAGAGUCCAGGCCAGAGAACCUUUACAAUAUAAGUAGACAAGAACAAUUACACAAGUGAAAGAAGAAGAGAUGAGGGUGACUUGCCCAAAGUCCCAGAGCAAGCUGGUGUCAGACAAGUUUAAGCCUGGCAUCUGGAUCCUGCUCAGAUGUGCAACCCACUGUGGCUGCCUUUGUUGUUUCUAUUUCAGGACCUCUCCCUCCGUGUUGUUUCUGACAUGUUCAGCUGAUGAGGACUGAACGAUACCAUGAUUCACACUGGACAUUUUAAUACCUGUCAGAUCAGGAGGAAAAACAUCUGUUAUGCAGAGUUUACUUUAGAAGAACAUUAUACUAAGGCCUUCAUUUGUCAGUGACAAAAGUGACCUGACAAAUGGUGAAAUAUCGGUGCAAGUUUUUCUCAUUCAUCAGGAUCACACCAUUCGUUUUUGCCUGUUUCAAAAUGUGACUGUCAAUUGAAACAUUUAUUAAUCUGACUUUUCUUUUACCUGGCCUGUCCUAGAAAGUGAAAUUGUGAAAUGACUAUUAAAACAUCUAUGAUUCAUGUUAGAUACUUUGAGAGUUUCACUGUGAUCAUUAAAUCUAAAGCCAAAUGUAAAAGAACAUAUAAGAAUACAAAAAAUAGGGGUUUUUUUAAUUUAACAACGAUAUUUUUAGGAACAUUUUGCAACUAUAGUGUCCAAGGUGAUAGUUUUGAAAACUGAUGCUCUAGUCCUGGUUUUUUAAUCAGUAGGUUUUUCUUGUGUCUGUUCCUAAAAGGUUUUUUUCCCCACUUAGUUAAAGAAAGUUUGGUUUGCCAAGGCAAGUUCAGGAUGGCCACACAUAAAUAUUUAGCUCUUCUUCUGAUUUUGGAAAUAUCUGAAUGAAAUUAGUUUUGGUCUCAUUUUUCUUGUCUCAGUGAGUAUACCUGAAACUCCAAAGGA